rnacentral:rRNA from 1 species
AACGAACGCUGGCGGCAGGCCUAACACAUGCAAGUCGAGCGAGGACUUCGGUCCUAGCGGCGGACGGGUGAGUAACGCGUGGGAACGUGCCCUUUGCUUCGGAAUAGCCCUGGGAAACUGGGAGUAAUACCGGAUGAGCCCUUUGGGGGAAAGAUUUAUCGGCGAAGGAUCGGCUCGCGUUGGAUUAGGUAGUUGGUGGGGUAAUGGCCUACCAAGCCGACGAUCCAUAGCUGGUUUGAGAGGAUGAUCAGCCACACUGGGACUGAGACACGGCCCAGACUCCUACGGGAGGCAGCAGUGGGGAAUCUUAGACAAUGGGGGAAACCCUGAUCUAGCCAUGCCGCGUGAGCGAUGAAGGCCUUAGGGUUGUAAAGCUCUUUCAGCUGGGAAGAUAAUGACGGUACCAGCAGAAGAAGCCCCGGCUAACUCCGUG